GGUACUCCGGGGAUAACAGGCUGAUACCGCCCAAGAGUUCAUAUCGACGGCGGUGUUUGGCACCUCGAUGUCGGCUCAUCACAUCCUGGGGCUGAAGUAGGUCCCAAGGGUAUGGCUGUUCGCCAUUUAAAGUGGUACGCGAGCUGGGUUUAGAACGUCGUGAGACAGUUCGGUCCCUAUCUGCCGUGGGCGCUGGAGAACUGAGGGGGCUGCUCCUAGUACGAGAGGACCGGAGUGGACGCAUCACUGGUGUUCGGGUUGUCAUGCCAAUGGCACUGCCCGGUAGCUAAAUGCGGAAGAGAUAAGUGCUGAAAGCAUCUAAGCACGAAACUUGCCCCGAGAUGAGUUCUCCCUGAGACUAUAAGUCUCCUGAAGGAACGUUGAAGACGACGACGUUGAUAGGCCGGGUGUGUAAGCGCAGCGAUGCGUUGAGCUAACCGGUACUAAUGAACCGUGAGGCUUAACCUUACAACGCCGAAGCUGUU
rnacentral:rRNA from 1 species